GUAGGUGGCAAGCGCUGUCCGGAAUUAUUGGGCGUAAAGCGCGCGCAGGCGGUUCUUUAAGUCUGAUGUGAAAGCCCACGGCUCAACCGUGGAGGGUCAUUGGAAACUGGAGAACUUGAGUACAGAAGAGGAAAGCGGAAUUCCACGUGUAGCGGUGAAAUGCGUAGAGAUGUGGAGGAACACCAGUGGCGAAGGCGGCUUUCUGGUCUGUAACUGACGCUGAGGCGCGAAAGCGUGGGGAGCAAACAGGAUUAGAUACCCUGGUAGUCCACGCCGUAAACGAUGAGUGCUAAGUGUUAGGGGGGUUUCCGCCCCCCUUAGUGCUGCAGCUAACGCAUUAAGCACUCCGCCUGGGAGUACGGCCGCAAGGCUG
rnacentral:rRNA from 1 species